CCUACGGUAGGCAGCAGUAGGGAAUAUUGCUCAAUGGGGGAAACCCUGAAGCAGCAACGCCGCGUGGAGGAUGAAGGUUUUCGGAUUGUAAACUCCUUUUGUUAGAGAAGAUAAUGACGGUAUCUAACGAAUAAGCACCGGCUAACUCCGUGCCAGCAGCCGCGGUAAUACGGCGGGUGCAAGCGUUACUCGGAAUCACUGGGCGUAAAGAGCGCGUAGGCGGGAUAGCAAGUCAGAUGUGAAAUCCUAGGGCUUAACCAUAGAACUGCAUUUGAAACUGUUAAUUUAGAGUAUGAGAGAGGUAGGUGGGAAUCGUGGUGGAGGGGUAGAAACCGUAGAGAUCAAGAGGAAUACUCAAUGCGAAGGCGACCUGCUAGAACAUAACUGACGCUGAUGCGCGAAAGCGUGGGGAGCCAACAGGAUUAGAUACCCCGGUAGUC
rnacentral:rRNA from 1 species